rnacentral:rRNA from 1 species
UGGCUCAGGACGAACGCUGGCGGCGCGCCUAACACAUGCAAGUCGAACGGAGACACUCUGUUCACUGAAUGGUAGGAAGGCGGCGUGUCAGUAUGAGACGUCGCGUUUUCUACUGUUGAGUGAAUAGAGUGUCUUAGUGGCGGACGGGUGAGUAACGCGUGAGCAACCUGCCAUACAGUGGGGAAUAACACACCGAAAGGUGUGCUAAUACCGCAUGAUGUACCGGAAUCACAUGGUUCUGGUACCAAAGAUUUAUCGCUGUAUGAUGGGCUCGCGUCUGAUUAGAUAGUUGGUGAGGUAACGGCCCACCAAGUCGACGAUCAGUAGCCGGACUGAGAGGUUGAACGGCCACAUUGGGACUGAGACACGGCCCAGACUCCUACGGGAGGCAGCAGUGGGGGAUAUUGCACAAUGGGCGCAAGCCUGAUGCAGCGACGCCGCGUGAGGGAAGACGGUCUUCGGAUUGUAAACCUCUGUCUUCKGGGACGAUAAUGACGGUACCCGAGGAGGAAGCUCCGCAAGUCGUACGGUGACCUUGGUGCUUGCACCAGGCGAUCAGUGUGCGAACGGGUGAGUAACCCGUGAGUAACCUGCCCCCGACUCUGGGAUAACCCCGGGAAAUCGGAGCUAAUACCGGAUACGAGACGCACAGGCAUCUGUGGGUCUGGAAAGAAAUUCGGUCGGGGAUGGACUCGCGGCCUAUCAGCUAGUUGGUGGCGUAAUGGCCCACCAAGGCGACGACGGGUAGCCGGCYUGAGAGGGCGACCGGCCACACUGGGACUGAGACACGGCCCAGACUCCUACGGGAGGCAGCAGUGGGGAAUAUUGCACAAUGGGCGAAAGCCUGAUGCAGCGACGCCGYGUGGGGGAUGAAGGCCUUCGGGUYGUAAACCCCUUUCAGCAGGGAAGAAGCGAAAGUGACGGUACCUGCAGAAGAAGCGCCGGCUAACUACGUGCCAGCAGCCGCGGUAAUACGUAGGGCGCAAGCGUUGUCCGGAAUUAUUGGGCGUAAAGAGCUCGUAGGUGGUUUGUCGCGUCUGCUGUGAAAACCCGAGGCUCAACCUCGGGCCUGCAGUGGGUACGGGCAGACUAGAGUGCGGAAAGGGAGACUGGAAUUCCUGGUGUAGCGGUGGAAUGCGCAGAUAUCAGGAGGAACACCGAUGGCGAAGGCAGGUCUCUGGGCCGCAACUGACACUGAGGAGCGAAUGCUCGGGGAGCGAAUAGGAUUAGAUACCCUGGUAGUCCAUGCCGUAAACGUUGGGCACUAGGUGUGGGGCUCAUUCCACGAGUUCCGUGCCGCAGCUAACGCAUUAAGUGCCCCGCCUGGGGAGUACGGCCGCAAGGCUAAAACUCAAAGGAAUUGACGGGGGCCCGCACAAGCGGCGGAGCAUGCGGAUUAAUUSGAUGCAACGCGAAGAACCUUACCAAGGCUUGACAUAUACCGAAAACUCAUGGAGACAUGGGGUCCGCAAGGGCGGUAUACAGGUGGUGCAUGGUUGUCGUCAGCUCGUGUCGUGAGAUGUUGGGUUAAGUCCCGCAACGAGCGCAACCCUCGUUCUAUGUUGCCAGCACAUNAUGAUAAAGACUCAUAGGCAGCGGCCGGGGUCUACUCGGAGGAAGGUGGGGAUGACGUCAAAUCAUCAUGCCCCUUAUGUCUUGGGCUUCACGCAUGCUACAAUGGCCGGUACAAAGGGCUGCGAUACCGCAAGGUGGAGCGAAUCCCAAAAAGCCGGUGUC